CACAGAGGUUGAACUUAUUUCCAGGGAAGAAGGGCGGGGAUGUCAGGGCUGGAGAGUGCCUGUGUCCUUCUGUGUGCAUUGGGCUCCUUCCUCCUUAAUUCUCUCAUUUCCACUUUUUAGGCUGAACUCCAGUGCACCCAGUUAGACUUGGAGCGGAAACUCAAGUUGAAUGAAAAUGCCAUCUCCAGGCUCCAGGCCAACCAAAAGUCUGUUCUGGCUCCUUGAAUAUGUUGAGGCCUCUCCUCUCUACUAUUUCUGCUUGUCAUCAUUUUCGCGAUGUCGGUGUCAGAGGUCAAAGCAGUGGCUGAAAUGCAGUUUGGGGAACUCCUUGCUGCUGUGAGGAAGGCCCAGGCCAAUGUGAUGCUGUUCUUAGAGGAGAAGGAGCAAGCUGCGCUGAGCCAGGCCAACGGUAUCAAGGCCCACCUGGAGUACAGGAGUGCCGAGAUGGAGAAAAGCAAGCAGGAGCUGGAGAGGAUGGCGGCCAUCAGCAACACUGUCCAGUUCCUGGAGGAGUACUGCAAGUUUAAGAACACUGAAGACAUCACCUUCCCUAGUGUUUACAUAGGGCUGAAGGAUAAACUCUUGGGCAUCCGCAAAGUUAUCACGGAAUCCACUGUACACUUAAUCCAGUUGCUGGAGAACUAUAAGGAAAAGCUCCAGGAGUUUUCCAAGGAAGAGGAGUAUGACAUCAGAACUCAAGUGUCUGCCGUUGUUCAGCGCAAAUAUUGGACUUCCAGACCUGAGCCCAGCACCAGGGAACAGUUCCUCCAAUAUGCGCAUGACAUCACAUUCGACCCGGACACAGCACACAAGUAUCUCCGGCUGCAGGAGGAGAACCGCAAGGUCACCAACACCACGCCCUGGGAGCAUCCCUACCCGGACCUCCCCAGCAGGUUCCUGCACUGGCGGCAGGUGCUGUCCCAGCAGAGUCUGUACCUGCACAGGUACUAUUUUGAGGUGGAGAUCUUCGGGGCAGGCACCUA
rnacentral:sRNA from 1 species